GCUUAUCCCCCUGAUGUGCUAGAAAUUAUAUUUUAAAAAUAUCGCAAGCGCACGAUCAUCGUUUUAAUAUUUAUGAUUCGAUCCACAGAGAUUAAAAUUAUUUUUCGCUAACCUUUAAAUCUAACCUAGGCGAAUUAGAACAAUUAAUUUUGAGAAAAAGGGUUUUCUAAAUUUAACUCUAAGAUUUCAUUUUAAACUAAUCUAAUUAAUUAUUACUAAUCACAAUUAAAAUCAAAAUUAAGCCUAAUAAUUUAAGAUCGAAAACUAAUUUUAGACACUUAAAAGAAAAAAAAAUGACAAGUCGUGUGCUUAAUCUAUCUAGCCAAUUCAAAAAGUCAAAUCGUGUUUAACCACAAUUUAUAAUCAGAAAAUUUUCAAGCACUAAACUUCAGUAAAUAACAAAAUCCAUUAGAAAUGGCAAACUCGAAAUGGCAACUCAGAGACUAAACAAAUUAAAACCCAAAACAAACUACUUGACACAAAUCAUUCUUAAACAACCUUACAACAGCUAACAAAAUAAAACAAACUCCACUAUUUAGACAAAGGAAUCCAGCUACUGACUCGGGAAACUCGGAGACAGAACCUGCGACUCGGACCUCGACACUAAAUUAACAAAACAUACAGAAACUCAGCAGGACUUAACUCGGCUAUUACAUAUACAGAACUCGGCGAAAACACAGGCUACAAAGAAGAAAUCGACGCAAUGAAAGCAGGGGUUUGAGACUCGACAACGCAUGACUCGAUGACUAACAAAAACACAAGAAACUCAGCUGACUCGGUGAACUCGAAAAGCAAACAAAACUAAUCAACUAAACUGGUUACUCGACUCAAAACAGAGCAACAAUAAGCAGGAUUCAAACAAAGAAAAACGAACCCAGCAACAAAAUCGGGACUGAUUACAAACAAAAGAAACGCAGGGAACAAACUACAAACACAAACUAAUUGAUUCAACAACAGAGAAACUGAAGCUCUGUAAGUCUAAAUGUAAAGACAACCCUAUCUGUUACAUAGGGAUGAUAACUCAACAAAUAGAACAGGACAAGUAAAUAACACUACGCCUGCACCGGAAUCGGAAGAUACGAAGACAAAGGUUGAAGAAGCCAUCUACAGUCUUGAAGGAAUAAGUUCAC
rnacentral:lncRNA from 1 species